rnacentral:rRNA from 1 species
CCCGCUGAACUUAAGCAUAUCAAUAAGCGGAGGAAAAGAAACCAACAGGGAUUGCCUCAGUAACGGCGAGUGAAGCGGCAACAGCUCAAAUUUGAAAUCUGGCUUUCGGGUCCGAGUUGUAAUUUGUAGAGGAUGUUUCGAACGUGGUCCGGUCUAAGUUUCUUGGAACAGAACGUCAUAGAGGGUGAGAAUCCCGUAUGUGACUGGGUGCUUUCGCUCAUGUGAAGCUCUUUCGACGAGUCGAGUUGUUUGGGAAUGCAGCUCAAAAUGGGUGGUAAAUUUCAUCUAAAGCUAAAUAUUGGCCAGAGACCGAUAGCGCACAAGUAGAGUGAUCGAAAGAUGAAAAGCACUUUGGAAAGAGAGUUAAACAGUACGUGAAAUUGUUGAAAGGGAAGCGCUUGCAACCAGACUUGCGCGCUGAUGAUCAUCCGGGCUUCUGCCCGGUGCACUCGUCUGCGCUCAGGCCAGCAUCGGUUUCGGUGGUGGGAUAAAGGCCUUGGGAAUGUGGCUCCUCUCGGGGAGUGUUAUAGCCCUCGGUGCAAUGCCGCCAACCGGGACCGAGGACCGCGCUUCGGCUAGGAUGCUGGCGUAAUGGUUGUAAGCGACCCGUCUUGAAACACGG